UCAUAAGCGGAGGAAAAGAAACUAACAAGGAUUCCCCUAGUAACUGCGAGUGAAGCGGGAAAAGCUCAAAUUUAAAAUCCUUCGGGAGUUGUAAUCUAUAGAAGUGUUUUCGGUCGUUGCCUCGGACAAGUCUCUUGGAACAGAGCGUCAUAGAGGGUGAGAAUCCCGUCCUUGCCGAGCUCCCAACGUCUAUGUGAUACACUUUCAAAGAGUCGAGUUGUUUGGGAAUGCAGCUCAAAAUGGGUGGUAAACUCCAUCUAAAGCUAAAUAUUGGCGAGAGACCGAUAGCGAACAAGUACCGUGAGGGAAAGAUGAAAAGCACUUUGGAAAGAGAGUUAAACAGUACGUGAAAUUGUUGAAAGGGAAGCGCUUGGAGUCAGUCGCGUUGCAAGGACUCAGCCUCACGGUGUAUUUCUUUGCAACGGGUCAACAUCAGUUUCGACCGCGGAAAAAGGGCUUGGGGAAUGUGGCAACCUCGGUUGUGUUAUAGCCCCCUGUCGUACGCCGCGGUUGGGACUGAGGUCUGCUUACAGGAUGUUGACGAAAUGGCUCUAAGCGACCCGUCUUGAAACACGGACCAAGGAGUCUAACAUGUCUGCGAGUGUUUGGGUGUUAAACCCAUGCGCGCAAUGAAAGUAAACGUAGGUGGGAGGCUUCGGCCGCACCAUCGACCGAUCCGGAUCUUUAGUGAUGGAUUUGAGUAAGAGCAUAUAUGUUGGGACCCGAAAGAUGGUGAACUAUGCCUGAAUAGGGCGAAGCCAGAGGAAACUCUGGUGGAGGCUCGUAGCGAUUCUGACGUGCAAAUCGAUCGUCGAAUUUGGGUAUAGGGGGCGAAAGACUAAUCGAACCAUCUAGUAGCUGGUCCUGCGUA
rnacentral:rRNA from 1 species